ACAAGUUUGUAGCGCAACGCUUCAGUGACGAUGAGGUUCUACUACCACGUAUACCAAAGGAUUUAUUUGUUUUAGAUGAUACAUGUAAAUCAUUCUAGCUUCAACUUAUGUGUCGCUUACCCAACUUUGCUAAUUUUUUUUUGUAUAGAUAUAAUGACUUUACUUAUGUGAAAAGAUACAUUAACUGAAGAGGAAGCUUGGUUUUAUGUCGGAGAAACUGUUUUGGCAAUCGAAUCCAUUCACAAACAUAACUAUAUUCAGAGGAAAAUGAUUUCACUGCUGCAAAGAACUUAAGUGGGGCUCUUCAAAGUGACGGACGCCCUGCUGUACCGAGACGCACUCAACAGGAGCAACUGCAACAUUGGCAGAGAAAUAGGAGGAUGCUGAUUGGAGCUCAUCAAUUCAAGGUUAGCAAUGGGGAUUGCAUAUUCACAGAAAAGUUAAAGUUCUAUGAAGUGAAUGAUAAGGCCUUAGAUGCAAAAUUAAUUAUCUUUAAGAAAAAGAGAAGAAAGAAUUAUUGAUGAAUAAAAUGUCAUAGACAGAGGUGAGUUUACUCACCAUGUUAAAUCCGUGUCAAUGUCUAAUUUUACUUCACAAGAAGUUGAAGCCCUUAAAGAAGGCAGUAAUCAGCGUGCAAUGGAAACAUUUAUAAGAGAUUGGGACCCACGAGAACAUAGACUUCUACAUAACAGGUGAUGCACCUUUAUACUUUUACGUUUUUACAUUUAGUGUUUGAGUAGAAAGAAUGUUAAUUUAGUUUUUUAUGCAUGCUCGCUAUUACAACAAUGUGGAGAAAGUUUGAGAUAUUAUAAAGAGUGUCUACGUGGAUAAGAAGUUUUUCACUUCAAAGGCGUCCGAAAAACCUCCUAGAGAUGCAAUGGAUGGUUCGGUUCUAUAUUGGAUGUGAUGGAAGUUGUUUUGAAGGCAUUUGCACCAAGGAGGUACUAUGAAAUCGACCUCCAUUAACGGCGUGAAGAUGUAUACAGUUGCAGGAUAACAUCGCUCGCUGGCCACUUGGCUACCGCCGAAGAAGCUUAGAGCUCUUCGCAAAGACAAAAAUUACACGGAAAGGGUGGAUUUGAUCCAAGAUUUAAGAUUUGUCAACAUUCUAAAGCCAUUGGUACAUAAUUGCACGCCAAUUACUCGACAAAAUGUCUCAAUGAAGUGCUGCCAUAAAAAUUGAAGUCAUAACGAUGUCCAGCAGAGUUCCAGCAAUAAGCAACUAACACACUUCUACUACAAAUUGCACCACCAAUAUAAUGGACUCGAUUUACUAAGGGAAAGAUUUUGGCAAAUCGAAGGAUAUGAUCUUCAAAAGGACUCGGGAAACUAACUAAUUUUAAGAACACUAAUCAUGGAUUCUUCUGAAGAUCGCUGCGACCAAGGUGAUUUCGAAUUUGCGUUUAAUAAUAACAACUUCUCUGAUCGUGUUCUUCGCAUCUAUAUCUUUGAUGAGUCUA